CAGAGGCAGGAGAAGUGUCCCCUCCAGUCGGUGCUGGUGUCAACAGCAACAGCUGGACCUUUAAAUAUGGACCAGGCAACCCCAAACAAUCUGGUCCCGAACCUAAAAAGCAGACCCAAGUUUCCUUUCUCCUCCGCCGCAAAGGAGAGGCUUCCCAGCCCCGCCAGUGAGAGGUUGGACUCUCUGCCCUGUGCUCCGGGGAUCCUGUCUUGAUGACAUUUGCAGGGCAGGCUCAAAGGUUUUGAGAUUGAGCAGCUUGGGUGUCUGUGGCCACUGGGUUUGUGUGGUCACCGGGGUGCGUGAGUGCCAGACGUCAUCGGCUGGGAUGGGCCAGAUGAGACUAGUUGGUGCAAGGAGGGCUGGGAAACAAAGACAAAGAAACAGUGGGAGUUGCCAAUCCAGGGGGACCGUGAAAAUAAAAGGGACCAGACUUUCUAAAUCUUAAAACUCAAGAGGCAGUGGCCACCCUCUCGCAGACAAAACCAGACAAAACCACCCCCGCUGACAAGGCUGUGGGCUGUGGUGUCUUUAUCCCUAAAACCUGCAUUCCACCUACAAGCCAACAGUUCAGUGUUGAACGGGGGCCAACCAGGGCACCAGAGGCAGAUCUGAUGUGUUUGCGUGCGUCCUUGUGCUCACUUUAUUAAAAAUUCUUUUGCACACAAUGUCUAUGAAAAGGCGAGAUCCUUUUCCAACACAUAUGCAAAAGCAGAAGCAAAAGAAAACCCCAACACCUCACUUUAUGCUCUUUGUUGUUUGAUAGAUUUAUUUAAAAAAGAGAAACUCUAUGACUAUAAAUCUUUAAAGAGAAAUAUGAUGAGUCCCCCUCAACUCCUCAAAAGAGAAUCCAGUCUACAGCCAUUUAAAUGAUCAUUGCUGCUACAGAAGUGCUUUAAGAGAAUUGCCUGAAACAUCUGUAUUAUACUGGCCACCUGCCACUCACAGCUUUACUCUUUCAGGUCACUCUGGGGCUGCCUCUUGCAUGUAUUAAUUACUAAAUAAAAGGAUCUUUCUCUCUCUCUUUUCUAAGAAACAAGUAUGUGCACUUUGAAUACACAACCUUCUCUAGCCAACUAUAUCAAGACCCCAAAAUUGAAGAAAAAUUAUUUUCUCAUACACACAGUGAGCCGACUUUUCAAUCCUCGAAUUCUGUGAUUUGUCUUGGUGUGCCAGCCCACACCGUCUCUUUGGUUUAGUUUUCCUUUUUUAGAACACUCUGAAUUGCUAAUCUUGCUGACACCUAUGAUGUUACCUGAAAUCAAUCUCCCAUAUGUAUGCUGUAUGCUAUUAUAAGACUCCUGAAAUAUACUUACUCUGUGCUUGUGUAUGUGAAUGUUAAUGCAACUAUUACCUAGAGUGAACUUUAAGCUUUAUUGUUGAAUGUAAUUCCAUUAUAUUUCCUUUUGUACACCUGUGAAAAAGUGGAGUAGUGUUUUUUUUAACCAUUGUUAAUCAGCUUUUGUGUAUGAAAGACACAGUAAAAUUUCUUUCUUAAAUCAA